rnacentral:rRNA from 1 species
CACGUCACCGAACCCAAUAUUCACCGAGCCCACUCCCCAUGACCGUGGCCUAUUCUCACAGCACCCCCACCCAGUUGGUAACCAGUCUCCGUGACACUGGAUUGGGCGCACGGCGUCGGCGGAGGAGAGGAGGAGCUAAGAAGACGACGGCGUCGGUGGGGGGGAGAGGAGAGGGGGUUAAGAGGGUGGUGGCGGCGGCGGAGAGCAGAGUAGGUACAUCGGUCCCGGAUCUGCAGUAGCCGAGUCAGGCGCCGCCAUACCUACUCCUCCGCUCUCGAAGUCUCCGUCCCCGCUCCUUCGUCUCUCAGGAAGGGCUCCCGCGGGGUUGGACGGUCUAGAAGGUUGAGUAGCCGGGUCCGUUCCGUCUACCUCGUCCUGCCCCACUGCUAAGGACCGCCGCAAGCGCACAAAACCGAUCGCCGGACGUGAAGGAAGAAGGGGACCACUCAACAGGAACUAGACUUUUUUAUAAAUGAAGGGUGACUAAACAACGAACAGCCGCCCUCGGACCCCGCGGCGGUACCGGUCAUCCUCUUCGUGCCCACUGGCGACGUCGACUCGAAGGUACAUUCUAUCGGGGCUCGGGGGCUGUGUAGGAGACGGUGUGGUUGGAACGUCGUAGACCGGAAACGUCUCUAUAAGUUCUUUCUUCUAUCACGCUGUUCCGAUUUCCCGAUGAUACCUUUACUACCUCACGUGCUACGAAGUCGUCUAAGACGUAAUAACAGUUUGCGGAAAGGACUCCACAAUAAACAAAUGUGGACUCCUACUUUUAUUUCAAAAUACAGGGUGAUUAAUCUAGUUGACGAGUCCCUUUUUUUCUCUACACGGAAGAAACGUAAUCGAGGUGGUACCAAGACGGUAUACAGAUUAAUGCUACGUGGGAAAAGUCUGGUAAAGGUGGCGUGUACACACAAGCACGAGUAAAAAACAAGAGACUGAAAAACUAGUACGGAUACUUACGGGUAGCAUAUAUAAACAAGUGACAGAAAACUAGUGUCAACACAUAUGUGAGUACGGAUGACAUAAGGGACGUAAAAAGGAGAUGAUACGUUUGACGAAUGGGAACCUGAUGAUUAAUUUAGUUCGAACGGUGAAACAUGUCACACUAAUAAAGUACAUAAAAACCAUACACAAUCGAUACUGAACUGACCGAGGUCAGACCAUCUCUUGUGUUAAUUAAACGUGAAGGACCUUAUUUUAAUGAUAAACACUAAAACCAUACCCGAUCGAAACUAAACCUACUAAAGUUCAGUCCUUGUACUCACCCGAUUACAUAAUACGUACUGGUACCCUUCUGCCAUAAAAGAUACCAUCUUAAUCACACCACCAUAUUUUAAUAUUCAAGUGAAGUACCAGCCAUCCAAGUGGCGACGUAAAACAAACAUCUACGGAACUGAAAAUCCGAUAGUGUCCAUCAGCGCGCAGCGGCGCCCGCUCAGAGACUAGCGGAACGAGACAAAGUGACAAAGUUAUAAAGGUUGAAUAAUGUACUUACCUAGAUUUUAUUGUUUGAAAGUUGUAGCAUACUAAAAAGAUGCUCAACUACCAAAAAUGAGUUGGUAUUUACGAAGGUACUAUACGACCGUGUAAGAGAGUGAAGUAAGGACCUAAAACGACUGUUCCUAACCUUUAAAGACAAUGGGGGCUCUUGAUUUUUAAUAGCUGGUGAGCUAAUGUACCACAACUUAAUAAACUUACGAUGGUUACAGAUAUAUCUUUUUAUUCCUUUGAAAAAAAAUGAGAUAACUCGUUACUCACGUGAGAUGUUCCAAUCGGAACGACGGUAACCAUAAUUUCAUGAUCGUUAAUAGAAAUCGAUAAGAAGAAAGUAGAUAUAGGACUUCCUCUGGGCUACCGUACCGACAUGUUCACCGUGGGGACCAGUCCACCUGCAACCUACGAAAGAAGUCACAAAGAGAAAAGGGCGUCCGAACUAAAGGAACACCAGCAUUGGGUUGAGGGUUUUCAGUUGCGAAAGAACCUCAGGAUUAGGUAGAUGAACAGGGGGAGAGACAAGAAAGAUAACAUUGCGCUAGAAAGAACCUCAGGAUUAGGUAGAUGAACGAGGGGAGAGACUUCUAUAGUACGAUACCCUGAAAAGCCGUCUUGGAUUUGAUACCAAAAUGAACGUCGAGUCAAAAGUGUAGGAAGGGUCCAAAGUCUUUUUGUAUUUGUACGAACCUACACACAGGAACGGCCGCUGGAGCGACAGAGGUUGGGUAGGCAGACCUGUCCAUCGAACGAUAGGAGAGUAGCACAGAUAACCACGUCAUAGAGUAUAGGAGAGAGCUUCUCUACUCCAUUCCUAAUUUCCUGAUGGUUGACUCAAGAUGUCGAGUGGAGUGGUUAUUACCUUCUGUAGGAGUGGAGUGGAUAUUACCUUCUGUAGGGCUCAGUAACAAAACGUACGAUCUAUUGUUGUUGAUAGUGCAACCACUAAAGGGACUAUAGACCAAGAUGUUCACACAGUAUACCUGGUUACUUUCUUUUCUAUAAAGCCUCUAUUAUUGAUAUACCCGAUGAGGUUUACCAGACUGUCACCUUGGUUGAAAAUAUCCGGGAGUUCAUGGACACCUUCAGAUGGUACGUUCGUAAUAGGCUGCUACUGUGACGAAAAAGCAUGUAUAGUAGAAUUCUGGUACCAGUCUGAUUCUUCUACGGAUUUAUUCCGUACUCCGACGGAUAUAUAUUCACAAAAAGAUAUUUGACUAGAUUCAGUAAGAUGAUAGACAUUUGGUUAAAUUCAAUAAGAUGAUAAACAUUUGGGCAGAUUCAGUAACAUAAUAGUCGUUAUGUUAGGUGUAACGUAAUAGAAAGUAAGAUGUAUAGAAUGAAUGAGU